rnacentral:rRNA from 1 species
UAGGGAAUAUUGCUUAAUGGGCGAAAGCCUGAAGCAGCAACGCCGCGUGAACGAAGAAGGCCUUCGGGUCGUAAAGUUCUUUUAGGUGGGAUGAGGAAGGACAGUACCACCAGAAUAAGUCUCGGCUAACUACGUGCCAGCAGCCGCGGUAAAACGUAGGAGACGAGCGUUAUCCGGAUUUACUGGGCGUAAAGAGCGUGUAGGAGGCAGUACAAGUUGGAUGUGAAAGCUCCCGGCUUAACUGGGAGAGGUCGUUCAAAACUGUACAGCUAGAGGAAGGCAGAGGUAGACGGAACUCCGGGAGUAGUGGUGAAAUGCGUAGAUAUCCGGAAGAACACCAGAGGCGAAGGCGGUCUACUGGGCCUUAACUGACACUGAGACGCGAAAGCCAGGGUAGCAAACGGG